UACGUAGGGUGCGAGCGUUAAUCGGAAUUACUGGGCGUAAAGCGUGCGCAGGCGGUUUUGUAAGUUUGUCGUGAAAUCCCCGGGCUCCAACCUGGGAAUUGCGUUGGAGACUGCAAGGCUGGAGUCUGGCAGAGGGGGGUAGAAUUCCACGGUGUAGCAGUGAAAUGCGUAGAGAUGUGGAGGAACACCGAUGGCGAAGGCAGCCCCCUGGGUCAAGACUGACGCUCAUGCACGAAAGCGUGGGGAGC
rnacentral:rRNA from 1 species